AUACUCACUUCAGCAGCACAGAUACUAAAAUUGGAACAAUACAGAGAAGAUUAACAUGACCCCUAUGCAAAGAUGACAAUAAACUGCUUGAUUUCUACACGAGCUGG